CACAUGCAAGUCGAGCGGUAGCACAGAGAGCUUGCUCUCGGGUGACGAGCGGCGGACGGGUGAGUAAUGUCUGGGAAACUGCCUGAUGGAGGGGGAUAACUACUGGAAACGGUAGCUAAUACCGCAUAACGUCGCAAGACCAAAGUGGGGGACCUUCGGGCCUCAUGCCAUCAGAUGUGCCCAGAUGGGAUUAGCUAGUAGGUGGGGUAACGGCUCACCUAGGCGACGAUCCCUAGCUGGUCUGAGAGGAUGACCAGCCACACUGGAACUGAGACACGGUCCAGACUCCUACGGGAGGCAGCAGUGGGGAAUAUUGCACAAUGGGCGCAAGCCUGAUGCAGCCAUGCCGCGUGUGUGAAGAAGGCCUUCGGGUUGUAAAGCACUUUCAGCGGGGAGGAAGGCGGUGAGGUUAAUAACCUUGUCGAUUGACGUUACCCGCAGAAGAAGCACCGGCUAACUCCGUGCCAGCAGCCGCGGUAAUACGGAGGGUGCAAGCGUUAAUCGGAAUUACUGGGCGUAAAGCGCACGCAGGCGGUCUGUCAAGUCGGAUGUGAAAUCCCCGGGCUCAACCUGGGAACUGCAUUCGAAACUGGCAGGCUAGAGUCUUGUAGAGGGGGGUAGAAUUCCAGGUGUAGCGGUGAAAUGCGUAGAGAUCUGGAGGAAUACCGGUGGCGAAGGCGGCCCCCUGGACAAAGACUGACGCUCAGGUGCGAAAGCGUGGGGAGCAAACAGGAUUAGAUACCCUGGUAGUCCACGCCGUAAACGAUGUCGAUUUGGAGGUUGUGCCCUUGAGGCGUGGCUUCCGGAGCUAACGCGUUAAAUCGACCGCCUGGGGAGUACGGCCGCAAGGUUAAAACUCAAAUGAAUUGACGGGGGCCCGCACAAGCGGUGGAGCAUGUGGUUUAAUUCGAUGCAACGCGAAGAACCUUACCUGGUCUUGACAUCCACAGAACUUAGCAGAGAUGCUUUGGUGCCUUCGGGAACUGUGAGACAGGUGCUGCAUGGCUGUCGUCAGCUCGUGUUGUGAAAUGUUGGGUUAAGUCCCGCAACGAGCGCAACCCUUAUCCUUUGUUGCCAGCGGUCCGGCCGGGAACUCAAAGGAGACUGCCAGUGAUAAACUGGAGGAAGGUGGGGAUGACGUCAAGUCAUCAUGGCCCUUACGACCAGGGCUACACACGUGCUACAAUGGCAUAUACAAAGAGAAGCGACCUCGCGAGAGCAAGCGGACCUCAUAAAGUAUGUCGUAGUCCGGAUUGGAGUCUGCAACUCGACUCCAUGAAGUCGGAAUCGCUAGUAAUCGUAGAUCAGAAUGCUACGGUGAAUACGUUCCCGGGCCUUGUACACACCGCCCGUCACACCAUGGGAGUGGGUUGCAAAAGAAGUAGGUAGCUUAACCUUCGGGA
rnacentral:rRNA from 1 species